rnacentral:rRNA from 1 species
GAUGAACGCUAGCGACAGGCUUAACACAUGCAAGUCGAGGGGCAGCGGAGUUGUAGCUUGCUAUAACUGCCGGCGACCGGCGCACGGGUGAGUAACACGUAUGCAACCUGCCCGUUGCAGGGGGAUAAGCGGAAGAAAUUCCGUCUAAUACCGCGUAAUAUACUUUAGGGGCAUCCUUUUAGUAUUAAAGAUUUAUCGGCAACGGAUGGGCAUGCGGCGCAUUAGCUAGUUGGUGAGGUAACGGCUCACCAAGGCGACGAUGCGUAGGGGUUCUGAGAGGAAGGUCCCCCACACUGGUACUGAGACACGGACCAGACUCCUACGGGAGGCAGCAGUGAGGAACAUUGGUCAAUGGGCGGGAGCCUGAACCAGCCAAGUAGCGUGAAGGAUGACUGCCCUACGGGUUGUAAACUUCUUUUGUUUGGGAAUAAAAGACGCUACGUGUAGCGUUCUGCAUGUACCUUACGAAUAAGCAUCGGCUAAUUCCGUGCCAGCAGCCGACGG